ACACGAGUGGCGAACGGGUGAGUAACACGUGGGUGACCUGCCCUGUACUUCGGGAUAAGCCUGGGAAACUGGGUCUAAUACCGGAUAUGACCUUCCCCUGCAUGGGGGUUGGUGGAAAGCUUUUGCGGUACAGGAUGGGCCCGCGGCCUAUCAGCUUGUUGGUGGGGUAAUGGCCUACCAAGGCGACGACGGGUAGCCGGCCUGAGAGGGCGACCGGCCACACUGGGACUGAGACACGGCCCAGACUCCUACGGGAGGCAGCAGUGGGGAAUAUUGCACAAUGGGCGAAAGCCUGAUGCAGCGACGCCGCGUGAGGGAUGACGGCCUUCGGGUUGUAAACCUCUUUCAGUAGGGACGAAGCGCAAGUGACGGUACCUACAGAAGAAGCACCGGCCAACUACGUGCCAGCAGCCGCGGUAAUACGUAGGGUGCGAGCGUUGUCCGGAUUUACUG
rnacentral:rRNA from 1 species